rnacentral:rRNA from 1 species
UACGGAGGAUCCGAGCGUUAUCCGGAUUUAUUGGGUUUAAAGGGAGCGUAGGCGGGUUGUUAAGUCAGUUGUGAAAGUUUGCGGCUCAACCGUAAAAUUGCAGUUGAUACUGGCAUCCUUGAGUACAGUGGAGGUAGGCGGAAUUCGUGGUGUAGCGGUGAAAUGCUUAGAUAUCACGAAGAACUCCGAUUGCGAAGGCAGCCUGCUGGACUGUAACUGACGCUGAUGCUCGAAAGUGUGGGUAUCAAACAGG